UACAGGGGGGGCAAGCGUUGUUCGGAAUUACUGGGCGUAAAGGGUUCGUAGGUGGCCACUUAAGUCAGACGUGAAAUCCCUCAGCUUAACUGGGGAACUGCGUCUGAUACUGGAUGGCUUGAGUGCAGGAGAGGAAUGCGGAAUUCCAGGUGUAGCGGUGAAAUGCGUAGAUAUCUGGAGGAACACCGGUGGCGAAGGCAGCAUUCUGGACUGUAACUGACACUGAGGCACGAAAGCUAGGGGAGCAAACAGG
rnacentral:rRNA from 1 species